rnacentral:rRNA from 2 species
GUCGAGCGGACAGGUGGGAGCUUGCUCCCUGAUGUUAGCGGCGGACGGGUGAGUAACACGUGGGUAACCUGCCUGUAAGACUGGGAUAACUCCGGGAAACCGGGGCUAAUACCGGAUGGUUGUUUGAACCGCAUGGUUCAAACAUAAAAGGUGGCUUCGGCUACCACUUACAGAUGGACCCGCGGCGCAUUAGCUAGUUGGUGAGGUAACGGCUCACCAAGGCAACGAUGCGUAGCCGACCUGAGAGGGUGAUCGGCCACACUGGGACUGAGACACGGCCCAGACUCCUACGGGAGGCAGCAGUAGGGAAUCUUCCGCAAUGGACGAAAGUCUGACGGAGCAACGCCGCGUGAGUGAUGAAGGUUUUCGGAUCGUAAAGCUCUGUUGUUAGGGAAGAACAAGUACCGUUCGAACAGGGCGGUACCUUGACGGUACCUAACCAGAAAGCCACGGCUAACUACGUGCCAGCAGCCGCGGUAAUACGUAGGUGGCAAGCGUUUUCCGGAAUUAUUGGGCGUAAAGGGCUCGCAGGCGGUUUCUUAAGUCUGAUGUGAAAGCCCCCGGCUCAACCGGGGAGGGUCAUUGGAAACUGGGGAACUUGAGUGCAGAAGAGGAGAGUGGAAUUCCACGUGUAGCGGUGAAAUGCGUAGAGAUGUGGAGGAACACCAGUGGCGAAGGCGACUCUCUGGUCUGUAACUGACGCUGAGGAGCGAAAGCGUGGGGAGCGAACAGGAUUAGA